AUCUGUUUGGAGUUGUGGUUAGUGCGCUCGGCUGUGGAUUCUGGCGACGCGGGUUCGAUUCCCCCUAUCAGAUG
rnacentral:tRNA from 1 species